UACGUAGGCAGCAAGCGUUGUUCGGAGUUACUGGGCGUAAAGGGUGUGUAGGCGGUUGUUUAAGUUUGGUGUGAAACCUCCAGGCUCAACCUGGAGUCGCCAUCCGAUACUGUCAUGGCUAGAGUCCGGUAGGGGCCCACGGAAUUCCUGGUGUAGCGGUGAAAUGCGCAGAUAUCAGGAGGAACACCAAUGGCGAAGGCAGCUCACUGGGACGGCACUGACGCUGAGACGCGAAAGCGUGGGGAGCAAACAGG
rnacentral:rRNA from 1 species